GACAUAGGGCGCGAGCGUUGUCCGGAUUUAUUGGGCGUAAAGAGCUCGUAGGCGGCUUGUUGCGUCGACCGUGAAAACCCGCGGCUUAACUGCGGGCUUGCGGUCGAUACGGGCGGGCUGGAGUUCGGUAGGGGAGACUGGAAUUCCUGGUGUAGCGGUGAAAUGCGCAGAUAUCAGGAGGAACACCGGUGGCGAAGGCGGGUCUCUGGGCCGAUACUGACGCUGAGGAGCGAAAGCGUGGGGAGCGAACAGG
rnacentral:rRNA from 1 species